CCUCCGUCUCCUCUCUCUGUCACCUGUGUUAUUAUUAUGCACAUGACAAUGAGAUAUGUUAGAUUGAUCCUACUUUUGAAACAUUAUCGUGAGAAUGUCUAGUUCUUCAGUAUAUUAUGCAAUCAGGUUCAAUAAUUUUUUUGUCAGAAGUUGUUUCUUAAACAAGACACCUACAUUUUUGAACAUGCUUCUUUUAUAACUUUGUGAUAAUUGUUUAUCUGGCUAUAUAGUUUGUAGAUGUCCAAUACUUAUAAAAAAAGGUUUAUACUUGUUCAAUACUGUGACAGAUUUGGAACGAGUGAAAGACAGUGGGUAGAAGCUCAAGUUGAGAAUGCUAAGCAGCAAGCUAUUCUCAUGGCACUUAAAGCUCAAGUAACAUCAGAUGAAGCUCACAUACAUCCUGAUCUUCAUUCUCUUAGAUUUGGUGAACAAUCUUAAAGAAGACCAGCUUGAGUACCUUGAGGAACGACGUCUCAAGGACUUGGUCAAGAAGCAUUCUGAAUUCAUUAGUUACCCAAUCUCUCUCUAGAUUGAGAAGACUAUAGAGAAGGAAAUUUCUGAUGAAGAGGAUGAGGAAGAGAAGAAAGACGAGGAAGGAAAGGUUGAGGAUGUUGACGAAGAGAAGGAGAAGGAAGAUUGAUAGAUUAGUUAUUAGGAUGUAUCAAUUGUUGCAUUAGGAUGUUUUAUUUGAUUUUCAAGAUUGACAGAUUUGUUUGGGCUGUUGUUAUUGAUUUAUUGUUGCAUGAGGAUGUUUUAUUUUAUUUUCAAGAUUGACAGAUUU